GAGGCGGCAGGUAGACUAGUGGUUAGAGUGUAGAGGAGGCAGGUAGACUAGUGGUUAGAGGAGGCAGGUAGACUAGUGGUUAGAGUGUAGAGGAGGCAGGUAGUCUAGUGGUUAGAGGAGGCAGGUAGCCUAGUGGUUAGAGUAGGCCGUAAUUGUAAAUAAGAAUUUGUUCUUAACGGACUAGUUAAAUACUGGUUAAAUGAAUAAACAUGUAAAGUCUGACUGUGUCCUGGCUCUAGCUGUGGUGUGUUGGGAGCGGUUAGAGUUGGGUUGUCUGCUGGUCGUUGUCUCUCCAUCACUCUCACUGGAGCUCACAAUACGCUGGGCCUUCCGACCAGCACGCCUCAACAAUGGCUUCCUAAAACACACACACAGGUCAGAUAGAGACAGACGGGUCAGAUCGAGACAGACAGACGGGUCAGAUCGAGACAGACAGACGGGUCAGAUAGAGACAGACGGACAAACGGGUCAGAUAGAGACAGACGGGUCAGAUAGAGACAGACAGACGGGUCAGAUAGAGACAGACAGACGGGUCAGAUAGAGACAGACAGACGGGUCAGACAUUUGAAGACCAGAAAGGUAAUGCCACCAGUCUGACCUGGCUGUGUUGUUGCUCUGCUGCUGGGGAGGAGGAGGAGGCGGGACGAUGAAGAUGUUCUCUUCAUCACUGUCCUGCUCUCUCAGACAGGACAGGGCUUUGGUCUUCGCUAGUCGCAGCUCACUACUGAUAUCUGCUGUCCAGGACAGGGCUUUGGUCUUAGCCGGCCGUAGCGCUCUACUGCCAUCUGCUGUACUUCUCUUUCUCCCUCUGGAACAGGGGAAGGGAGGCCGGGAGGAGA
ensembl:lncRNA